rnacentral:rRNA from 1 species
UACAGAGGGGGCAAGCGUUGUUCGGAAUUACUGGGCGUAAAGGGCGCGUAGGCGGCCUUCUAAGUCGAACGUGAAAUCCCCGGGCUCAACCCGGGAACUGCGUCCGAGACUGAAAGGCUCGAAUCCGGGAGAGGGAUGUGGAAUUCCACGUGUAGCGGUGAAAUGCGUAGAUAUCAGGAGGAACACCGAUGGCGAAGGCAGGUCUCUGGGCUGACACUGACGCUCAUGCACGAAAGCGUAGGGAGCAAACAGG